UACGUAGGGUGCGAGCGUUGUCCGGAAUUAUUGGGCGUAAAGAGUUUGUAGGCGGUUUGUCGCGUCUGCUGUGAAAAUCCGGGGCUCAACCCCGGACUUGCAGUGGGUACGGGCAGACUAGAGUGUGGUAGGGGAGACUGGAAUUCCUGGUGUAGCGGUGAAAUGCGCAGAUAUCAGGAGGAACACCGAUGGCGAAGGCAGGUCUCUGGGCCACUACUGACGCUGAGAAGCGAAAGCAUGGGGAGCGAACAGG
rnacentral:rRNA from 1 species